CUUUCUUCACCCUAGUUCAUUCCGCCACCACCAUUCAUUCCGUCCCACCCUUCAUUCUGUUCAACCCUAGUCGUCGUCUCCUGCUCCAUCUUCCGUUCAACCCUAGCCUCGCCGCCGUCUCCUGCUCAAUCUUCCAUUCAACCCUAGCGCGCGCCGCCGUCACCUGCUCCAUCUCCGACAAUCUCUUUCACAGUGUUCCUUCUUCAACUCAGUAUUUUCUUUCAUAUUCCUCUUCCUCUUGGCUGUUAGAUUUUGUGAUUUAUGUAAGGUCUUGACUGAGAUCUUGGGUGAUCUAAUGUUCUUUGGUCCUAGCUGAGAUCUAAUUUAUAACACAAUCUCCUAUUUUCUUCAACGAAACAAAUCGGUUCUUCCUUUUCUCUUCGUUCACGACAUACUACAAGCAAAUCACUCCUAAAUCGUUGCCAAGAAACGUCGGAAACUUUGAUGCAGCAGCAGCAUCGUAAUGAAGCAGAUGUGAAUGAGGGGAGUUGGUUGACUUGAUCUCUUGGACUCAAAAUUUGACGGAUCGAAGACGGUGGUGAAAGGGUGAUUGUUCGAUGUAGAAAAUCAAUAUGUGGGUUGCGAAUGUUGUGUUCAUUAUUUUCUCAAAGAAUUUACAUGAUGUUGUGUUAUUUCCUCCUAUGUUGCGGUAAUGAUAUCAAUCACUAUGCAACAUUGAUUGAUCCAUGUAACAAUCAAUUUGAUGUUGCGGAUGAAAAAGGAAAAGGUAGUAUAUGCUAAACCUAAGGAUUGUACACCUUGCGUGAUUUCUAUGAUAUACGUUUCGGUGCUUGGAUCACUAUGGUAUAUGUUGGGUUGGGUCAGUUUGGAAUAACCAUAUGUCAACUCCCAUUUUUUAUUAUAACUUUUUAUAGACAAACUUACUUAUUAUGUCUAUUUCUUCUUUAU